UACAGAGGGUGCAAGCGUUAAUCGGAAUUACUGGGCGUAAAGCGUGCGCAGGCGGUUGGUUAAGUCUGAUGUGAAAGCCCCGAGCUCAACUUGGGAAUGGCAUUGGAAACUGGCUGGCUAGAGUGUGGCAGAGGGGGGUGGAAUUCCGCGUGUAGCAGUGAAAUGCGCAGAUAUCAGGAGGAACACCGGUGGCGAAGGCGGUUCUCUGGGCAUGUCCUGACGCUGAGGCGCGAAAGUGUGGGGAGCGAACCGG
rnacentral:rRNA from 1 species